GCUGCUGCCUGAAUCUACUCAUCUGUGAGCCACAAAGGGGCAAAGUUUAAAGGAACAGCACUUCUUAGCUGUUCACAGUUCUACGAGGGCAGGGCAGAACAGGACCAGCUGGUGCCUACAGUCCAGUUACUUCUUUGCUCUGUCCCUGGGGUCGGAUCUCACCUGUUUUUGAUCUUUGGCACAUUUUCCUGCAAUGAUGAACGAGUGAGGCGGGCUGGGAGUGAAUAAGGAGACUUUUAGGUGUUGCCUCAGCUUCUCAAAGUUUCUGGUGUUUAUGAAGAUCCAUAACAGCUGGCUGCAAACCCAACUCCUGAGAAUCAUUUCUGGGAGAAUGCCGAAGACUGCAUUUCAACUUCAAGAAUGGGCGGAUAGGAGCUGAACACCGUGGCUCAAGUGGCAAAUGAAGAGUCCAGCACAACAAACAGCCAUCAUAUGGUGCAAAUAGCAGGAGAGACCCCAUUGCCACCUGAUUUCUGCAUGAUCUAUUUGUGGUGGCAUGAGGCACUACAGGAGAGGUACCCUGCUGCCUUCCAGCAGUAAUGGAAGAGAUUAUGUGGACUAUGUGUUCUAGGAAAUAAACUUUUAAGACUCCAGCUGGCUCGGCAAUAAUAUAGGUGGUUCUAACGACACUGCUUAGUUAUGGGAAACCAUCACUGAAGAAAUGGGCCCAUUUAGUAUCAUCUCCCAUCUUGUCAUGAAUAUCAGAAGCCUGGAAGACAGGGAUAAAAAAAUGGGUGAAACAUGUUUGGCAUCUGGAGUUUCUGGAAAGUGCAGCCAAACCUCUUCGCUAUGCUUUGUGUUGGUUCUGGGCUGAUUAAAGUUAUCCACAUUGUACCUCUUUCUUGCUACUGCUUUUAACUUUUUAUUUUGACAAAAUUUCAGACUUUUUAAAACAUUGGCAGAAUAGUACAAGGAGUUUCCCUCGUGUUAAUAAUUUACCAACUUUACUUAAUUUAAUAUAUAUGUACCAUCUAUUAUAUAUGCCAUAUAUUUUUAUAUGAUACCAUAUAUUUUCAUAUAAUGCCAUAUUUUUUCCUGAAUUAUUUGAAAUGUAUAGACAUAAUGUUCUUUAUCCCUAAAGACUUCGAUGUGUACUUUCUGAAAAUGCAUUUUGUUACAUAAGCACUAUUGUUAAUCAUCAAAACUGGGAAAUUAACAUUAAUACAAAACUAUUACCUAAUCUACAGACCUCAGUUGAAUUUCACCAAUUGUUCCAGUUUUAUGCUAUAUGGUAAAAGAAAACACUGGAUCACA
ensembl:lncRNA CCDC26 CCDC26 long non-coding RNA